GUCGAAGUUGUGAAUGCUAGCGUAUGAGAUUCAAGUCCCGUCAUACGCACACCAGAUCGUGAAAUUGUUCAUCAAAUGGGAAUAAUCCUUCUGGACUUUUUGUCAUCCUGGUCCCAACUUGAAAACCAGAACAGCUUUCUUCCCCCUCCACCUCAACUGAAAGAGACCAAAGUUCGGUGUUUGUUUCUUUUGCAAGCAGGAGCUGCUGAAACAAUCAUUUGAAGCUCCCCAAGGGUUUCCCCCACCGUAAUGCCAGCUUUCCUGGAUUGACUGUAACGCUACA
rnacentral:lncRNA from 1 species